rnacentral:misc_RNA from 1 species
CUAACACCCCUACAAUGUUUUCCUUAUAUCUCUAGAAAUAAGUCCACAACUUACAUAAAGGACAAAACAAAAAUCAAAGCGUAGAAAAGCUCCGAAUGCUAAAAUUGAACAAAAAGUUUUGUGAAUAUGGUAUCCUUGUGCAGUAUAUCUACAUUGUUUCAUCCAGUUCGCUGGAAACAUAUGCAAAAAACCAAAAAGUUCUUCCAGUCCUAUUUCCAAGGUAAAAAAAACAAGGUGCGAAAAAGAGUUGAUAGACUGCUACACAUAAAUCUUAGUUUAUAGGCAUGGUAACAGUAGAUCACUGCCUUUGUCCAUUGCGUAUAAUGUUCCGCUCAUCCCAGAUUUGGCAGCCACAAGUUGCUUUCUUAUUCUUCCAUGGAGCUCCACAAGUAUAACAGAACUCAUAUCCACAUCUGUAAAAACAAAGCAAACAACACGCAAAAGACAAAUUCUUGACUAAGAGGAAACUAAAGCAAAGAUCUUUAGUAGGGGAGUUCAUAUAAUGUAGAGGCAAAGAUCAUUAUCUAAUUCAUUAACAGUUAUUUUAAUUUCCAAGAAAUAAUUAAUAAGCAAUUGUAUGCAUUAGCUAAAGGGCCCUAGAGAAUCUAAGUUAACAAUAAUAGAAAUCUUUAAUUAGACUGAGACAAAGUAGAGUGAUUGAUUCUUCACAAUGUAGGGUAACAUUCUCUAUUAUAACUUAGUCACCGUUCCCUCUUCAUGAUAGACAGAGACUCAGUCCCUGAUAUUACCUUAGAGAGAAGGAAUUAUCUUGCUUUCUUUUUUAAUUUGAUGGCAGAGUGGGGGUUAGUCAAGCAGUUUCCUUGCCCUCAAUAGUGUUGCAUGUGACCUUUAAGAACUGAUCACAGAGAAAUUGCACAACUUACAUUAAUCAGACAAAGAAUGUAUUACCUGCAAGUGAUGUGGUAGCAACCUUCAGCAAGUUCAACCAUAUGGCUACAGUUCACACAUUGGCGCCAAAGUUUCUUUUUGGCAAGGGAAUCGAGCAUUGCAUCUUCUGCACAUUGAGGUUUAGAUCUUUUAUAAUCAUAGCAAGUCAAAUUAUUGUGCCAUGGGACCUUGCAGUUGAUGCAGAAAAAAUAAUGGCAUUUCACACAUUUCCUAGCUCCAGAUUUUUCAGCACCAACAACGAAAGCAUUGGUGUAUUCCAGGACCUCAUUUUUUGACAUUAAUGAUGAGCAUUUCACAUAUGGACAAUACACCUUCUCCGGUACUGCAAUAGAAGCUUCUUUUUUCCUUUGAAUCAUGAUCUCAACUAAUUUUGGAUCUAGAAAUUUUUCACAAGCAUCAAUACUCACUUCAGAUUUACAGCCUUCAUGAGGACACCUAGCCUCCAUCCCAUUAAGUAGCUUCACUUCAACAUGUUGUUUCAUACAAGAAAAGCAAUAUCUAUGCAGACAACCAUCAACACAAAACAUCUGACCCACAUCUGUAUCCUCAAAGCAAAUUACACAAGUCUCCUUCGAACUCUUUUUGCCUUUGCCAGAUUCAGUAGACCAGGUUAUCUGAGAAACUAUAGCAUCUCUUGCCAGUUUAAAGGCAAACUUUACAUCGUUACGUGCAACAAGGGAUGGCUUACAAUCUGUAAACUUUUUCUGAAGAAGAGACACCUGAUUGACUAAGGUUGAAAUUCUAUUUUGAAUUGGUUGAACUCUUCCUGUCACAUAUUGAUAUACCAUAAAGUCAUCACAAAAGAAGGUGACGUUUUUCAAAUCCAAACUCAAAGCCGCAUUCAACCCUUCAAUCAAAGCCUCAAUCUGAACCGCCUCUUCACUACUCACGUCUUUCCCUUUACCACAAGAAUCCUCCUCCAAACCCUUACUCACCUCAAAAAUCACAUUGUCCCUCGAAUCACAAAUUGCCACACCAACCCCACCUACUACAACAUUCAUUUCCCUAAUCAUCUCUUUACUCUUCAGUCCUUUACAAUACACCUUAAAACUCUCACUAUUCACAAGUGCUAACUCGUUAAUCAACGGAAAAGAAGAGCUAGAGCCGCCGUCAUCUCCAUACGGCCUAUGAUAGUGAUCCCCGUAAUUCUCCCACUCGUCAUCGGGGAUGUUCAAUAUUUCGUUAGCCAGAUUCUGAUCAUGAAUCCGACGGUCCAAAUCCUCUCUCAUUUCUCGCAUCAAAUUCUCGCAUGCUUCCCGAUCCCUGCGUUCUUGAUCGAACCUCUCAAUGUCUUCCAAGAGUAGAGCCGUGUAAUCAUGAAGCACAUCGUCUUCGUCGACGUUGUUCGUGACGGAAACGAAACUGGCGAUUUUCAGCGGCGAGUUGAAGGCAGAGGAGGAGGGGUCGAGGGAAAGAGAGGCGGUUAUGGCUUCUUCCAUUUGGAGAUUAAAAGCUAGGUCGAUAUCAGAGUGUAAGGUUUUGGCAUCGGAAAUUUCGCUGAGCUGCUUGUCAAUAACGGACUCGAAGGAAUCGUCCAUCUCUGCCUGGAGUUUCGGGGGCUAUGCUCGCUUCCGUUUUCUGGUCAUUUCGUCUGGAAUUUUAUAUUUUGAGGAGUCAAGGAGAAGUCGAAUGGGAAGAGCUUGCUG